rnacentral:rRNA from 1 species
GUGCCAGCAGCCGCGGUAAUACCUAUGUGGCAAGCAUUGUCCGGAAUUAUUGGGCGUAAAGCGCGCGCAGGCGGCUAGGUAAGUCUGGUGUUAAAGCCCGGGGCUCAACCCCGGUUCGCAUUGGAAACUGUCUGGCUUGAGUGCAGAAGAGGAAAGCGGUAUUCCACGUGUAGCGGUGAAAUGCGUAGAGAUGUGGAGGAACACCAGUGGCGAAGGCGGCUUUCUGGUCUGUAACUGACGCUGAGGCGCGAAAGCGUGGGGAGCAAACAGGAUUAGAUACCCUGGUAGUCC